UCGCGAGAAGUCCACUGAAGCUUA
rnacentral:rRNA from 1 species